rnacentral:rRNA from 1 species
CUGACAUUAGAUACCCCGGUAGUCCCAGCCGUAAACUAUGCGCGUUAGGUGUAUCGGUGACCACGAGUCACCGAGGUGCCGAAGGGAAACCGUGAAACGUGCCGCCUGGGAAGUACGGUCGCAAGGCUGAAACUUAAAGGAAUUGGCGGGGAGCACAACAACGGGUGGAGCCUGCGGUUUAAUUGGACUCAACGCCGGGAAGCUCACCGGAUAAGACAGCGGAAUGAUUGCCGGGCUGAAGACUCUGCAUGACUAGCUG